rnacentral:pre_miRNA from 1 species
GAGAGAUGAGAUGAGAGAUGAUGAGAUGAGAGAUGAGAUGAGAGAUGAGAUGAGAGAUGAGAUUCAUCUCUCAUCUCAUCUUAUCUCAUCUCUUAUCUCAU